rnacentral:rRNA from 1 species
CCUACGGGUGGCAGCAGUAGGGAAUUUUGGACAAUGGGCGCAAGCCUGAUCCAGCUAUUCCGCGUGUGGGAAGACGGCCUUCGGGUUGUAAACCACUUUUGUAGAGAACGAAAAGUCUAUUGAUAAUACCGAUAGAUGAUGACGGUACUCUAAGAAUAAGCACCGGCUAACUACGUGCCAGCAGCCGCGGUAAUACGUAGGGUGCGAGCGUUAAUCGGAAUUACUGGGCGUAAAGGGUGUGCAGGCGGUUUUGCAAGAUGGAUGUGAAAGCCCCGGGCUUAACCUGGGAAAGCCAUACAUGACUGCAAGACUAGAGUGCGUCAGAGGUGGGUGGAAUUCCAAGUGUAGCAGUGAAAUGCGUAGAUAUUUGGAAGAACACUGAUGGCGAAGGCAGCCCCCUGGGACGCAACUGACGCUCAUACACGAAAGCGUGGGGAGCAAACAGGAUUAGAUACCCGGGUAGUC